rnacentral:rRNA from 1 species
UACGGGGGGAGCAAGCGUUGUUCGGAUUUACUGGGCGUAAAGGGCGCGUAGGCGGCCACCGCAAGUCGACUGUGAAAUCUCCGGGCUUAACCCGGAAAGGUCAGCCGAUACUGCGGGGCUAGAGUGCAGAAGGGGCAACUGGAAUUCUCGGUGUAGCGGUGAAAUGCGUAGAUAUCGAGAGGAACACCUGCGGCGAAGGCGGGUUGCUGGGCUGACACUGACGCUGAGAAGCGAAAGCAUGGGGAGCGAACAGG